AUCAUUUCUCAGCCUUUUGGCUAAGAUCAAGUGCAGCAUCUGUUCUUAUCAGUUUAAUGUCUGAUAUAUUAUCUAUCCAGGGACGAUAUAUUAAAUAGAUUUUUGGAGCAGGGAGAUGGAAUAGGAGCUUGCUCUGUCCAACCUGUGCAUCAACCUGAUAUUGCAGUACCUUUAGGAAUGGUGGACCCCCA
rfam:Canis lupus familiaris chromosome 17, whole genome shotgun sequence.